CAGCCGCCGCGGUAAUACCGAGGGUGCGAGCGUUAAUCGGAUUUACUGGGCGUAAAGCGUGCGUAGGCGGUUUGUUAAGUCUGCUGUGAAAUCCCCGGGCUCAACCUGGGAAUGGCAGUGGAUACUGGCAAGCUAGAGUGUGUCAGAGGAUGGUGGAAUUCCCGGUGUAGCGGUGAAAUGCGUAGAGAUCGGGAGGAACAUCAGUGGCGAAGGCGGCCAUCUGGGACAACACUGACGCUGAGGCACGAAAGCGUGGGGAGCAAACAGGAUUAGAUACCCCUGUAGUCCCUGUCUCUUAUAC
rnacentral:rRNA from 1 species